rnacentral:lncRNA from 1 species
AAAAAAAAAGAAAUUUUCAACGAAACUAAAGAAUCAAAACUUAUAGACUUCUGAUCAAGUUCAAUCAACAACUACGUCGAAAUUACUGCCACAGAAACGCUUCAACGGUGAAGGGAAAUGACGUCGUCGGAGCCGUUUUACGUGCUUACCGAUGAGGAGAAGAACAAAGAAGAACGGAGACAGUGAUGGAGAAAGAAUUUUGAGAAUUUCAAUGCCUUUUUGUUUUGUUCUCGCAAUGGCGGUGAAAUUAUUCAAUUAAUACCGCUAUGGACACUGUUUAAAAUGUGUACUAAAAAAAAAAGAAAUUAAAAUUAUAUAAUGUUCGUGUUAAAUUGUCAACUGUUUUCUUCUUUUGAAUUGAAGAAUGAAGGGGUGAAUUGUACUCUACGCCCUUGGAGUUUAGAGUAAGUCACGUUUUUGGACCGCCUAACUUUCUCUAAUGCCCUUGUAACCUUUUUUUUUUUUGUAAGCACUUAAGGGUUUUGAGUUUUUUGCGAAAGGCAAGUAUGAGAGUCGAAAAGAAAAUUUUAAAAAACAAAAAAUAUUUAAAGACAAAAAAGAUGGAUAGAAAAGGACACGUGCAGGGCAAUUUUUUCUUUUUUUUUUUUGUUUGAGAUCUAUUUUGAAGAUGAUUGUCAUGUUUAUAUAGUACGUUGAUUUAAUAGUACCUAAUUUAAUUUAUCUAAAGAAUGACAAUUUUCUCUACUUUAGUACCCAAAAGAAAAGAAAACAUCUACGAUUCAUCUGUAAUUCGCAAUAUUGUUAGAGAUAUGGCACUAAAUUUCCUGGACUUUUCUUUUUUGGCUUUUUUGUAAUUCUACUUCUGGCAAGUCAAUCGACAUUGAUAAUUAUGAAAUACGUACGGUAAAGAAGAAACGAAAAAAAUUAAGUUUUGAUGAAAUUAUGUAUACUUGCAGUUGAAAAUGAAAUAGUACUAAGCAACUUUUUGACAGGCACAACUGAUAUGUUGAAAUCAUAUGUCUAUUUUUCAAAUCAAGUGCAAUUUUCCUUCUCCAUUGCAGUAGCCAUACGACUGAGUUGACUACCUUGUGUUUUGGUUACCACCUAGUCUGUCUAGCUUAUUGUUUGCUAUUUUAAUCGGUCUUUGUUGAAACUCAGAAACUGCAAAAUCCGUUGGGACUACGGUGAAGUGUAGUGUAGGCCAAGUUUUAGUUGUCUUGGCCGGUGACUCAGGCGGAGUGCUGCUGGUUCUGGUGACUGUGGCUAACGCAGUAGUUGUGUAAAACGGUUGGAGAAAUGACUUGGAAUCUACUGGUUUUGUUGGUCAGAGGAAUGGUUUGAAAUCUAGAAAGAAUUGUUUCACAUUAAACUGCAAAACUUAGAGUCAAAUCAAAGUUUGAAGAAGCCCGCGCCAAAAAAGUAAAAAAAGAAAAAGAAAAAGAAAACUCCCCAUCACUCUUUAGAAAAUACUUUAAAGUGAAAGAAAGAAUUUAACUUUAUACAUCCAAAGAAUGAUUAGAAGCCUCUUUUGGGCAGGGCUCAAAUGAAAAGGUAGUGAUGAACUUAUGUAGUAGUAGUAGUAGUACAUUUGUCUUUGGUGAUAAUUGAUGCUAUGUAGUACUGGCUACCGCUGCCCCACAUUGAACUUUGCAUUAUAACAAGCAUAAUAUUGUACCCCCUCCCCCUCCGUCCAAUUAAAAGUGUCAUACUUUCUAUUUUGAAAUGUUUCAUAACGUCAAUCAUGAUAAAAAUGACAAAACACUUUUUUUUUAGUGUUUCCUUUCAAUACAGUCGCUCUUUUUAAUCAUAUGCUUGUUAUCAUUCAAAUUCAAAAUUUGAAUUUGUAAGGGUACGAUUGAAAAAAAAAAAUACAAACAUCACAAUCAAAUCACUAUUCUUUAAAAAAUUGGAUUGCCAAAACAUGAUAAAAUAAUUGGGACGGAGGAGAUACUUAAGAAGAAUGCAAGUGUUGUGCUGGUGGAGCAGGAUCAAAUUUUUUUUCCCAUUGACGGCAAGAAACACACACAGUUAAUCAAGUUAGAAACACUCAGGAAGUCAUGGCCAAUUUGAGUCAAAAAACUAAUCUAAGGGGGAUCCACAAAGCAACACCAUUCAGCCAAUCUAAGGGAGCAGGAUCAAAUGAACCAACAAGUAUUGACCAUGCACUUACGUAGAGUUGCAAGAUUUCAAAGCAUUUUUGGCAUCCCUUUUGGGACAAUCUGGACAUUAUUGUUUCAUGGUAUUGUAACGAGUUGAAGCCUGCCAUGAUUCCAUGAAUCUAGUUGACGGUUGACUUGUUCAAGAACCUGCGUCUAAUGAUGUUACAACAUUGUUUAGUCCACAAAGUAACCUCAGAUCAGGCAAUCAUGUGGAUUUGGGCAAGUAUACUGUCGGCAAGGUUGAGAGGUAUGGUUUAACAGCCCAUAUGCUGCUUUCCACCACAACCUAAGCAACCUUUCCACAUGUAAAAAUUUUGCCCCCUUUAGAAAGGGGAUUCUACAUUGCACCUGAAAAACAAAAUGUAUCUAUUUACAUUUUGGUUUACGUAGGAAAAAUGGACCAUCAGUAUAGUCAAUUCCUUGGGAGCAUGAAUAUGGGUGUUUUUAAUUGUUAUAAAAUAUAGUCUGAAAGCAAACAAUUCGACCUGAAAAGGGUAAUUCCAACGCCAAAGUACAUUUAUUAGCCUAAAAUCUGUAUAUUUAUUAGCCUAAGGCCUUGUUUGAUAAUCUAAUUCAGCACUUAAAUUUAAUGGAUUCAGAUCUUAACAAACCGUUUGAUAAUAAAAAAUUGAACAUCUGAAUUAAUUGAGUGGCACUGAAUAUCUUAAGCAAAACUUGCUCUCAAAACUAAGUGAUAAAUUAUUUACUUAUCACUGAAUGUAAUAUGCACUUAAAUAUACUAGAUUUAAUACUAGAUUUAAAAAAGUAGAUUUUUGUAAUUAUAAUUGAACCGUGGUAUCUCGCGAAAAGAAUUAGAAUAUUCUUGUCUAACAAUAAACACAUUGAACGAACAUAAUACAAUUCAAAUAGAGUUCACCAUUUUCGUCUGUUUUUUCUUCUUUUUUUUUUUUAAGGGCAUAAGUCUAUUCAAGCAAGCAAUAUGUGAGACAGUUGGCCUUCAUGAAAAUGAAAUAUCCGUAGGAGUUAGUUGAGAAUUUUAAAAGACCCAUGAAAUUCAUAAAUGAAUAGGCCACCACUUGUUCGAACUUGCAAACACAAGCAUGCACAAAAUUUAUUAACCCAAAAACGACCUUAGACUACUCACUCAAUCCUUGAUGCCCACAACUGCAAAUGACUUGCAGGAUAUGUGGCUGUGAAGCAUGUUUUGAAGCAUAAAAUUGGAUUCCAUACAAGAAACUAACACACACUUGUUCGGAAAAGCGAGGGGUUGGGUGGUUCGUGGGAGAAAGUAUAAUUAAAAGGUUUCGAGUUCAAUCCCUUCCAUUUACAUUUAAAAAAAAAAGUUAACAAAAACUAACACUAAUUUAACUUAUUCGAAUAUUUUUGUCAGUGUAGGCCAAAAACAAUCACAUAAGUGUUAAUAACUUCUUCAAUUGAAUCCAAUAAGAAAAUAAAAAAAAAAUCAUCUUACUUUAUUAUUACUACAUGUAUCCUAUACAAAUAUAGAAAGCACUUUGCAGCUGACUGUUGGUGAUGGGAAAUUUUCAUCUGUCAUAUGGAGCGGUAAAUUUGGAUACGGGAUAGUACAAUGCAAAUGAUGAAGCGCAGGGUACAAUAUUAUUGUUAUGCUUGCUUCCGUAGCUGUUGGCUUUAAUACCCUUUCAAGUAGGAGUAAAUUGGGCCAGGAAGCGCAUGAUGGAAAUGAUUUAGUUAUAUUUAGUACAAACAUUGUGAUGCUUCUUCUAGCAGUGUUUCUCUAUAUUAUAUAAUUGCACGGGCGUUUGCACUGGUUUGUUUAUUCUUUGUGUCUUUUUUAUUACUAUUAUUAUUAUUGUUAUUAUUUUGUAUUCAACUGGUACAUUAGAUACUAUGAGUUUUCUACUGGAAUUUUUCUCAUUAGCUGUUAUAUGACAAUGAAAAUUUCAUUAUGAAGUAGAUGGUACCUGUGAAUGUUGAAAAUCUGAUUUUUCUUCUAACUCAGCUUGGAAUAUCUGAUUUUCAUAGGUAGAGGUGGUUUAAUUGUGAGAAAAAGUUAUCUGUAUACUGGAAUUUUGACUUGAAAGUAAGAUUUAAAUUUUCACUCACAAUUGUUAUAUGUGAAUUGUUGAUUCUCAUUUUGGUGUUGGUGGUUGAAUCUGUAUACUUUGCUUUAACUAACACUUGCACCAAAAAAAAAAAAAAAUCCAUGAGAAACAGCGUCAAGCUUGUCAAGCUUAUAAUAAGCGUAAAAUGGCCAAAAAAACCACUAGAUCUGUUUUUCAAACCAUCAUGAAGAAGAAUGGCAAGUAUAUCUCAUAUUAGAGGUCGAGUUUAGAAAAACAGUUGAUAUUGAUAAAAUACCAGCAUCAUAUAAUAGCACUCUACUGUUUAUAAAAGUAUGGUGUCUUUUUCUCAUAACUUUUUGUUUUUCUUCAUAAGCUUACUCAUUUCACCACACAAGUUACCACUCCCGUGCUUAGCGCAGGCUUACCCCCCAGUGAUGUAAUAUAUUACCAACUGAAGUAUGUUAGCAUAGGAGACUAAACCUUCAAAAUUUCAAGGUCAACAAUCAUAAAUAUAGAAGCAAUAACUAAGAGGUACGAUAGGGUUGAGGCAUGUAAUAAUGCUCUCUUCAAAACCAUUCGCAUUCCAAUUAGGGGUGUAAAUGAAUCGAGUUUAAUCGAGUAGUUCAUGAGUUUGCUCGGUCAAAACUCGAACUUGAACUCGUAUUGACCGAAUUCGAACUCGAGUUCAAGUAGUUCGAACUACUUGAUGAGUCAAACUCGAGCUUAAUAUGCGAAACUCGAAAGCUUGUCGAGCUCGAUCGAGUUUCACACACACACACAUAUAUUAAUUUUUUUAUUCAUUAGUAUGAAAUGUCUAUUUUGUCCCUUGCUUAAAAUGAUAUAAAAUACAAAUUUAUAUUUUUAAAGCUUGAUUAGGUUUGAUUAAGCUUGAUUGAAUUCGAAAUAAGUUCGAUUAGACUUGAUAAGCACGAGCUCAAGUAGUACAAAAUAAAAUCGAGCUCCAAAUUGAGCUUGACUUUCAAGAGCUCGACGAACUCGAACUCGAGCUCGAGUCUAAACUUUUUAGCUCAAGUCUAUUCGACUCGAUUACACCCCUAAUCCCUAUAGAAUUUUUAAUUCUGAUGCUGGAGGUCCUAGCGUAUUACUUCCAGGAUACAACAACCAAUUCAAAGUCAUUGCUUCUCUUUGAUCUUCACAAUGAAGAGAAGCAGAAGGUUCUUCCAACACCUUAUUUUGACCAGAAUAACUAUUUCCUUCUAACACUAGAAUUUAGUAAUAGUGGAGAAUGUGCUAUACAUAUCCUAUGAAAAAUAGAGUUUAAAAGACAAGUGUAAGAAUGUAUGUCUAACAUAUUUUUUGAAUCUCUAUUUAUAGGUAGAAGAAGGUAAGAGAUACAAAGUUAGAAUGUAUGUCUAGAUCAUCAGUGAAUAUAAUUAAGUUACAAAUAUAAUGGUCAGCUUAAUUUUUGUAACGGUGAUAUUAAUAUAAAUAUAUAACUAUUAUAACCUUUACAUCUCCAAAUAUAUCGUAAAAUGGUUUUUGUAAAAUUUAAAUGAUUCUAAUGAUAUGUAACUCCUCCUUCUGUUUUUUUUCAAAGAUAUGUAAUUCCCAAAAUAUAACUCCCAAAAACAAAUUUCAUGGAAGUUGUAACUGUCAACUACUCAACUCUAUUUAUUUUAUUAAAAUAUACCAAGAAUUUCUUCUAGAGUUUAGAUGACCCUCAAAGUCAGUUGAGUGAACUUAUCACAUGACUAAGUAUGACGAUCUUAAUUUCCACAAUUACUUUAGAGCUACUAGGAAAAAAAAAGCACGUAUAUAAUUCUAAGUUCAGGAGUAUGUGGCAUUGCACUAAAAAAAAAAAAAAAGGCACAAACACCAACUUGGCCAGAAUGCUUCAUUUCCAUAUUGAGCAACAAGGUCACAUUAGUAACAACUUAUGUUACUCGGACUUGGCUACUAAAUUUUGCACAUUAGUAGCAUUUGGAAUUAUUGUUACUCCGAAGACUGGAUCCAAAUUAAUCCAGCCUUGGAGUAACAAAAUAUUUCAAUUAACCGGUUUGGAUAAACCUGGUAGUUUAACAAAUUUUGUCCUUAAAAAUGAUCCUUGGAUCUUUGUCGUCCAUGAAUAUUAAAGGAAAUCUAAUCUUAAACAAAAAAUAUCUUAAAAAAAAAAAAAGGAAUUUUGUUUUGAUUAACCUACAAUAUUCUUGUCAAUUACAUUUGGACGCACUUUUCAGUUUUCUUGUCUAUGAAUAUUUAUUGAAGUUGUUGUACGUAGAGUUUAGGUAUAUAUGGAAACUGUAUAUAUGCAUGCACUCGAUUUUCUUUGUGUUGGUCGGAUACGGUUCUUUCAUACUCAAGUCUUAGUAUUUAAUUACCAACAAAGCUCAAACUAUAGUUACCUAACCAACUAUUACUUGAAUAUGUAUACUUCGUUUGUUAAACAAAAAUUAAAAUCAAAUCAAAUCUUGGUCAUAACUUACUAGUUUUGAAGUUGGGUUUUUUUGUAACGGGUGCUCAUUAGACACUCGUUAAUGUACUCAGAAUUCAUCUAACCUGCCAUUCUAUAUACAUAUUAAUAAAUAUUAUCUUCCCCCUACUUAAUUUUAUCUAUCCGUUUUUGUAUUUAUUUAUAUUCCUUAAUUAAUCUUAUGUUUCAAAAGAUAUGACAUCUGAAAUAUAGACACAUCCUUUGAAGUUUCCUAAACAUGAUGAUAUUUAGUUAUGUAUAUAUCAAUGAUAGAGGAAGACCUGGUCAACACUUUUCUAAAAUAAGGAGUAAAAACAAUCUAAGCAAUGCCUUCAUUAUUACCUAAUUUAAGGGAUAAGAAGAUAAUUCUUGUGGGGGGGGGGGGGUUAAAAUUAAUUUUAAAUCUGAAUGGAGUUUCAUAAGUGCAUAACAAGUAAUACGACUGUUCUAGUAGUAAUGCCAUAGAACCUUUUCAAUAUUAAAAAAAGGACAAGUUUGAAUCAUGUUGUCAUGUAAUUUGUAGCAAUGGCCAAGCCACAUAUAAUUGAGGUCGACCAACUUUGGUAAAAUUUCAGGAAAUUGGAAAAGUAUUUAAACUAAAAUCAUACUUGCGAACAACCCCCCCCCCCCCCAAAAACCCCUGCAAACCAAAAAAAAACAAAAAAGUGAUUUUCCUUUCACUAAACAAAUAUGUUUUACUAUAACGUUAGACCUACGUGCUCAAGAGACUUUAAAUGGGAAAAAAAAGAUUUUAUACUUCUUUUUUUUGGUUGGUGAAAGUUUGGAGGAUUUGGCUCUAGUAACCACCACUAAUCAGGACAAGCCUCCGGAACUACAAGUCGUUUACAGAGGUACUUACAGAUUGGACACUAAAGAUUUUGUACUGAUUUCCUUUUACAAGAAUGCAUGUUGGAGGUACUCAAGUGAUAUAAGAAUGACAUUUUUUUUGUAAAAAAAACUGCAUGUUCCUAUACUGAAAUAGAUAAAUUAUCUUGUUGCUAAAAUUAAUUUGCUAUAUUUUAUGCUACUUCAAACUGGAUUUGCAAAAUCUGUAUUGGUUAUCCACAUCAAUUGAGCUAGUUCAAACUAGAUCAGAUGCCUCACAAGUUCUAGUUCAAGCCAGUUUAGCCCUGAGGUGUAAAUAAGUAGAUGUGUAGUAUAAAUAAAUUUAAGCAUAGUGUAAACGAGUAGGAUUGUGGUAUGAAAGUGCAAUAGAUUUUCUGUCCUAGUUUUUAUUAUAUUGCUAUUCCUCCUUCAUAAACAUUAUAUUUUAACUCUUUUUUGUUUCCUUAAGAUCUAAUAACUAUUAAUUGAGUAAUACAUAAAUACAAUUGUUUCAAAUAAAAAAUACAGCAAAAAAUUCAUAAAAAAUCUCAUUUUUUAUGCAUUUUGAUUUUUUGAGUUGUUAAACUUUGUAUAUUCAUCAAUUAAUAGUUAUUGAAUUUUAAGAAAAUAAAAAAAGAACUAAAAUAUGUCAUUUAUAAGAAAAAAAUAGUAAUAUAAUAAAAAAUAAAACAGAGAAUGACACAGAAAAUGAGACAAAAAAUCCGUUGCGAUAUACAAGAAUUGAAAAAAUAUCAUUUUACCCUCAAUUGGAUUGAACCAGAACUCGUGAGGCUCAUGAUCCAUUUCAAACUUUAGUUAUGCGUCUAACGUUUGAUGGUACGAAUUCAUAUGCAUGCCCAAAAGAAUAAAAGAACUAGGCUUCCUUCUAUAAAGAUGUGUGGAGCACCAUGCCCCGUGGUGAUAUCUUUGCUCGGAGUGUCAAGAACCAAUUCGACAAGUUAGAAAGAUUGAUCAGUGUGAUUGAAGUCAGCAAGAAAUGUUAAGGAUUAGUACCGGAAGGCCAAGAGCCAUGAACGAAAGCAACUCUUAUCAUGAUCUCAUUCACCCUUGUGAACCGUAUACAUAGAGAAAAAGAUCCUCGAUCUGAUACUUCUUCAAGAAAAAAACAUUAACAAAAGCAGUGUUCGAGAUCAUUCAAUGGAGGGAUACAAUCAGUAUUAUAGUACAUAGUUGGAGAAUACAGGCAUCCCUUCAAAGGAGAAGCUAUAGAGUUAAUCAGGAUCGAUCUAACAUCCAAUAGAAUCAACAUAGCAGUAUUUUCCUUCCAAUCCAAAAACACCUACAGUUCAACCCAAGCGUUCCUUCACUUGGUGGCAAAGCAAGAAAUCUCUGAAUCAUCGGAUCUCACCAGUUGGCUAAUUAGGUAAAUUAACUCUUACCUAGUAUGCGCCCUUGGGAGCUUUGAGGAGCCUAAAGAUUGGAGUUUACAGUCUGCGAUACUGCCAUCAAAGAAGGAGAUCUUGUCAAGUGCACCACAUCAUCCACCUUCAUAAAGCAGCUAAUUAACUCGAUUCUUGAAAAGGUUUAUAUUUUUCUCUCAGAAUAUAAGAUGCGUUUUACUUUAAUCCUAAACAAAUAAUGCUUUAACAACUAGCAAAGCCCCGUACUAACGUUAUUAUAAGUGGUGCACUGGUGGCUAGAUUGCAACCACCUGCUGCUGUUUUAAUUUCUUCUGCAAAAAUGUGCUGUUUUCUGCUUUACUUCACGAUUUAUGACACAUCCCAAAAGCGUCUUUUUUCCACUUUCCAGUUUCUAGCCCAUUAGUCCUUGCACAGGCCACGGGAAGCACAUAUCUUGUGCCUCCCCAUGAGGACAGGACAGCCAUUUGCAAGCGCUAACGGACCCCUUUUUCCACUAACAAAUGUACUUAGCUUCAAUCCAUCAAACAAACACACUAAAAUUUUUUUAAUGAAUCCAUCCAACAAACAAACAUUAGAAAAUAAAAUAAAACAAGACUGUACCAACACCCUCUUUGCAUGUGCACCUCACGCCAAAAAAUAUGUUCCCUUUGCUGUUUGUUCCCUCCUCUCGCCAACUAUAACGUCUAAAUCUUUCUUUCACACAUUAGCCACAACAAUCUCUCACAAGGGUUACGUGCCCCCUUCGAUUUUUCUUAUACUUAAGCACCAAUUGCUUUACCGCCUAAUCCAUCUUCCAAUUAGAUCAUAGCCGGCCCUCUUCAUUAACUUUGGCCAUCAAACAAAAAUUCUUAUCCCCUUCCCCAUGAAUGAUCAAUCAAAAAGUGAUCAGGGCAUGUCGGACAGCGGAAGGCGGAAGGGUUCCAGCGAAAAGCGUGCUAGCAGUAUCAUUGAGGCCACAGAAGGCGCGCUUCUGAAUGUAGGGGUGUCCCCUCCCCCUAGUGCUCCAUGUGGUGCAUGCAAGUUUUUGAGGAGGAAAUGCAUUAGUGGAUGCAUUUUUGCUCCCCAUUUUGGCUCUGAUCAAGGUGCAGCAAGAUUUGCAGCGGUGCAUAAAGUGUUUGGAGCAAGUAAUGUGUCAAAACUCUUGUUGCAUAUUCCGGAAAAUCGAAGAAAUGAUGCUGUUGUUACCAUAUCAUAUGAGGCUCAAGCAAGACUGUCUGAUCCUGUUUAUGGUUGCGUCUCGACAAUUCUUGCGUUACAGCAACAGGUUUUUGUUUGCUUCAGCACAUAUACAUGCUCUGGGAUGAGCCUAUUGGAUUCCAAAUUAAUUUUCCUUCAAGUUAUAAUUUUGCUAAGAAUUAUUUAAUUGUUUUCUAUUUCGGGCUACUUUUUUUUUUUUCAGGGAUAAAACCCAACAAAAUUAAAGAAAUGAACACAUUCAUGGUAACUCCCCUGUAGGAAUAUUCUCUUAGGUGGAUCACUUUAACCGACCAAUAAUUUCUUAUUCAUAUUCCCAGACUUUUUUGUUCUUUAAUUAUAUCCUUAGACUUAUUUGAGUUUAUCUUAUCCAUGUGGGCGAAUGCUGUCCCUACUCAUCAUAUCUUUCAAGAAAAAAGUACAUUUUCUUCCAUUUCUUUUUGGUAGCCAAUUAAUUUGAGAUGUAAAAGAUUAUAGUUGAAAGUGGAAUGCUGAAAAUAACCAUUGGAAAGUUUCCUACGGCAGUUUUCUAAGUCUUUUUUCCUUUCUUCUUUAGGUUAACUCUUUUCAAAUAUUAUCCUUUGUCCCAUUAAUGUUUCCUCUUUCCCUCUGAUCAGCAUAGGUAAAAUGGAAAAAAAAAAAAAAUUCUAACAUAAUAACUGAAAUAAAUCCAUUACAUAUGUUAGUAUUCACACAAUGUCAUCUCUUACCACAAAAAAAAAAAAAAAAAAAAAACACACACACACACACACACACACUCACACAAUGUCAUCAAUUUUUUCACUAUUGUCUUUUCCUUUUUUUUUUAAUAUAUAUAUUUUAAUGCUGAUAGUAUAUGUUUGCCAUACAUAUGCAGGUAGCAUCUCUUCAAGCAGAGUUGGCAGUGGUGCAAACACAGCUGAUGAACAGCAGAUUGGCAAUGGCAAAUGCCCUUCGAGAUUCACAAGUAAUACAGCAGCAGCAAAUUGUAGCCUUACAACCAGCUUACUCCAACACAUCUGCAGCUUCAAAUACUCUGAUGAAUAUAAACAGCUUCAACUCUAACUUUGAUCUUGCUGGUGAAGCUGCCCCCUCCAACAGUUUUGAUCCCGUUCAUCUCUCCCAAGCCCCUCAAGAAGUAGAAGAAGAAGAUGAGGAAGAGAGUCAGAACCACCUUGAUUUCACCAGUCAGAUAUUCCACCAAGAUAAUAAAACCUUUUUUUAACCCAAACAAAAAAAAAAUGUGGUUAAUACCUUUGCAAAGAAUAAUAGUAUGUAUGAGAAUUAUCUUCUUCUUCCAUGUUUGCUUGAGCACCGAUCAAGACACCUAUAACCCUUUUUUUGGGCAACUUUUUUUUUCUUUGGUUUUUUGUAUAGAUGAAUGUUCAUUCAAAUUUUAUAAUAAGAUAGAUAGAAAACUCAAUACUCAACGGUAAGUAAAUUGGAAGGAGGAAUCAGUUCAUGAAGUCAUCAAGAUAGCAUUGCCAUUUGAUAUGAUUGGCAGUCCUUUCAAACCAAAUAUUUUGAUCAACUCAUCGUUAGAAAUCAUUUAGCUAACUUAAGUGUUUUCAUAAAAAUUAAAUUGAUUAUUGCGGAAAUUGCGAGAUACUAAUACAGGGGUCACAAAGUGAUUCAAAAAAAGUUGUACUGUACAGAAUUCUAUGUGUAUAUUAUUUUCCUUUGACAACUCUAUGGACGUUUUGUUUGAAGAGACCAAUUCUUGAAUAUAUAUCCUGGAAAAUUAAAAGAACUAAAAAUACUUGGAAGCUCUAAAACUUUUCCAAAUUGUGUUUAAAUUAAGAAAGAAAGUUCGACGAAAAUGCCUCUUAAACAACCAUUUGCAAGUCCAUUUCCAUCAAUCUAAUGGCGAUCCUGUCUGAUUUGAUUUUAUUCGAAUUUCUUUUAAAGAAACAUGAAAGAAUGGAACCUGCAAUGCCAAUAAGCCACUUCAAUAAGUUAGUUUUCAAUUAGUAUGUCUAAUUACAUUAGUUUAGCACAAAUAAGUUGCAUAAACACAUUUUUUGUCAGUCACAGAGCUCGAACUCAUCCAUGCACCAUGGUAGAUAAAGUGUUAAUACAUGUCACCUUUAACUGAUCACAAGCAAAUUAUACACAAAGGAAUCACAAAUAUGUCAUCCACUCAAUAUACAUAUAUAAUGACAGUGCGAUGUUGUAUGCAUAAGAAGACAUAAUGAGGGGUAAAAGCAAUAAAUCAUGUAAGUGAACUAUUAAUGUUGAAUCUCUUUACCUAGCUAGAAUAAAAGUUACUAUGACAAUGGUUAAAUUUAUCUCAAUUUGGGCGUGAAACAAGUUAUGAAGUGUAUAGAGUUUGUGGACAAUUUGCAUUUGUGGUUAGUUUCCAAUGUGUCAUGUGAAUUAGGUAUUUUUGGGGGGUGUUUUGAAAAAUUUCAUUAUAGCAUUGUACUUCAAAAACUUUCUACUGUUCCAUAUGCAUUAAGUGUCUUUUGGGAUGUAUUAUGAGAUAUUUUUAAAAUUUUAUUGAGGUAUUUUUAAAAACUUUGUUAAUUUUUCACUACACACCACCGCUGACUACAGCAGCUACCCUUCUUGAGGAGGCAAAAGAAAGGGAAGGGAAGGAGAGAAAGGAAAAGGAUGGAGGGGAAGGAAGAGAAAGCGGGAGAGAGGAGGGAGGAGGGAGGAGGGCGGUGGCGUCAGCAGAUGAGAGAGGAAGGGAUAGGCGGCGGCAGUGCUGUUUGGUGGGUGGAGGAAGAGGAAGUGGUAGGAAUUAUUUAUUUAUUUAUUCAUUGUAUUUUUGCAUAUUUGGAGAUUUUAUGAGAUGUUUUUGAAGUUGUUACUAUAGAUUUCAAAAACAAAAAUUUGUAUUUCAAAUACUGAGUAAUGUUUAUUUAUUUAUUUUUGGGUUGGCAUUGAAGGCACUAGAUCAAUUCUCCCUUGACUGCAAUACCUUCAUUCAUUCUUAUCUCAGUGAUUUUAGGAACCUGCUGUACCCUCCUGAGAGAGUGAGGGAUACCAUUUUGGCAUAUUUUGGCAUCAACUUUGUAAGCUCCAUUGUUGAUCCUAAUAAAAAUCGAUACUUGGGAUAAUAAUAAAAAAAAAAAAAGGCCUUCAUGAUACUUCUAAUAAAAAGUACUUUCACGUACUAAAAGUACUAAAAAUAUUUUUAAAAUAUUCGGUAAAAUAUCGUCCUAGGAGUAAAGUUUUUAAUAUUAAAAACACUUUUGUUAAAUGCUCAAAUUUGAUGCUUUUAGAGUAGUUUUUGUGAUUUAAAAGAUAAAACAUCAAAUUUUAUCAUGUAUUAUGAACCAAAUAAAGAGAUAGAACACUUAUAAAAAAUUUUAAAUUACACAUUAUCCAACACAAUAGGUACUUGUUAAAUUAUAUCUCCAAACAAUAUAUUUAAAAGUACUUUUAUUAAAAACUCUACUAGAAAAUAACUUUUCAAUAAGCUAUUGCAACUCCAACUUUUCAUAGCAGUAGCAUUCCCAGUCCCAGCAGUUCGGCACUUUUGCAAGCCCAAAUUAGUUAAAGGAAACUACAAUUUCAAUUUCAAAGCAUACUGCCUCAUAGUAGUGCUUUGACUUUAUUCCUUUCCAAUUUCAAUUAGAAAGGAGAUGGUUCAUACUAUUUACACAUAUACACUAACUAGAUCACCUUGUGAUGUACAAUUCGGUGCCAAUCACUCCCAAUCAGCAUCAAAGAAACCAGCAUCUUUCAUCUCGGAAUAGUAGACGUUUUCUAGGUUCAAAUCAUCCUCCUAAUCAAACAAAAUUGAUGAUCUACUGAGCUUAAAAAUAAAGAAAAAUAAAAUUUAAAGACAGAAAAUGAUUACCUGAAAAAAGUCUGCAAGAAAUGUUACAUACAGUAGCGGAAGAUACAAGGCAUGAUAGCAAACAGUGGUGAUCUCAUUCAGCCUGCAAAUGCAUUAGAAGAUGACCUUCAGGUAUUCCUAAAGAAAAAGGCUUCGAAUCGAAGCUUAAGCUUAUUUGACAACAUCAACUUAUGAAUGCGUACCAGAGGCCAAAGGCAGCCCCAUUUGCUGCAAGUGCACAUGCAAACAACGCCAAGCCAUUCAAGAAGAACAUGAUGGUUAUAUAGUUGUAGAAUGCGGGUCUUGCUGCAAAGAGAAGCAAUCAAUCAAUCAACCAAAUCAAAAUAUCACACCAAUAACUUAAACAGCAGUAUAGGCAAGCAUAGCUGUACUUACCAGGCAACCUCUCCCUCCACCUAGACCGAUAGACACAGAAUAUGAACCCAUACACUCCAGUAAGCAGUAGCCUGUGAACAACCCAUAAGCCCCAUUUCACCCUAUGGGACUCCUCAUUGUUAUCAAUAAACAGUGGAAUUCCAAACCCAAAUGUGUAAAGGCCCUAGGAAAAGCAGAAGAGAUCAGUCUCUGACUGUACAGUAAAAUAAGAAGGAGAUGUUGAUAAAUUAAUCAAAAGCACAUGGAAGUUACAUCAUAGGCAGACACAUGAGACAGACAAUAAGAUGGUCAAAAAAUCAGAGGCUUAAAUGAUGUCAAUUACUCAAGUGCUCAAAUUAAUAGCAGUUAAGACAUGUAAUAAAAUGAUAAACCACACUUUUAAAAGGAUUCAAGGUGAAAGAAAACAACAGACUCAUUUUGGUAGGAGAUACAGUUUUUGACGUUCGAGUAACUUAAAAAAGGUGAAAGAAACUUUAGCCCAACAAAACUCGAAAGUUUCAAUUAAUCCACACAUUGAAAAGAAGAGUGCGAUGCAUACUAAAAGAACACCAAGAAGAAUAUACUAUAACAGCGGACAUAAGUACACCAAAAAAGAAUUAUUAAUCUCCUUUUCAAGUUAUUGGAAAACAUAAACGAAAUAUCUUACACCAAUUUAAAAAAAUUACCAAAAUGCAUUCAGAUCGAAAAUUCACUGUCAAUUGAGUUACUCAUAAUUAACAUCCUUUCGACUUUGGCAACAAUAUAGGUUCCUGGAUAAGGAAGAAUACAGUGUAAAACCAAAGGUAAAAUAUUACUGAAAUGCAUUCAAGAAGAAAGUUCAGGGCCAACUGAGUGGUUUAUGUAUCAGUAAAUUGUCGGUACCCUUUCAACUUUGGCAACAAAAACCUUCCCUGGAUAAGGAAGAAUACAUCAUAAUACCAAUAUAUAGAAAGUGUUCCCAUCUCUCUAGUUAAUUGCACUUCUAUGUGUCCUUGAAGAAAAGGAGCUGUAGCUUGUUAGCCUUUUACUUUUUGACAGCAAUAUUAAGCAACAUCGAGAACAUCUUCCAUAAAGCCAUUUCCCUAUCUUUAUCUAAUAUUCCUGCAAAACAAGCACAACCAAGAGAUAAUGAAUUUAACAUAGCAUGAGUGUAUGACUUGAUUUAGUACCUUGAGAAAUAUGUCUACACCAACAAUGAAGCCUGAGAUACCAAAUGUCCGCGUUAAAGCUUCCUGUCCACUAGCAUAAUUUCCUUGAAGUAAAAAGGCCAUUAAGCUAACUUCAAGAAAAAGCAUCCCUGAUGUUGUAAACAAAGAUAAGAUGCUCCAAGCUACUUCUUUUCCUGAUGUACACUCCCAUGCCUGAAGCAUGGAAAUUUUCAGCAAAGUCAUACACUAUAAAAUAAUCCCACACGGCAUAGCAUAGUUAAAAAAAAAAAUUAUAACAGAAGAAAACUUUAAAAAUAUACUUAGCAAGUUGUCAUUUGAUUGUUGGCCUCAUUAUGAAAGUGGAAAUAGAAAGUUCACUCUCAAAUCAUUAACCUAAUCAACAUCUGGAAAGGAAGCCAUCAGAAUGACUGAAACUGAGAACAUGAUGAGUUUUUGGCUUCUUCAGGUCCAUGUGAAGCUUAAUUUGCCAUAGCAGCCAUAAUACCUUGGGUGCUGCUUUCUAACAUGAAAGUUUAUUACAUGUACAACCCUCGACUUGUUAAUUUUCCAGGGGCCGGGGUGCAGAGGGACAUCUAGGCACAAGUUUUCACCAACAUGCAGUACAAUAUAAUAUCCGAUAUUAAUCCAAGAAUUUGAGCCAAGUUUCCAAACUUAAAAGCGAGAAAACUGUUAAGAAAAGAAUUUGCCAAGGCCUCAAAUGAUACAAGCAGAUACAGCUGAUAGAGUUAUAAACCAAGAAAAGUACAGAAUAUUCUUAGUUAGAUAUCAACAGCAGCAAGUCAAUUCUUGUGAAAGUUGUAACCAAAAUUUUCCAGCUAAACGUUUAUACAUAAGCUUCCAUUGCAAAAGAACUUCAAAGGUUUACAACUGACAAGAAAAGAACUAUUAAACACACUCCAACUAUUUAAGCAUGAAGUACAACAUUUCAAAGCAGCCCCACAUAUUUCCACUUUCAUUUCCAAACACCUCGUAAAACCCAGGAACCUAAUCUUGAACAAGAAUUCUCAAAUUGACAAAAAGAACUAAAAUAAACAGCAAAAUUGUAAUUUGUAUCGAGAAACCAUCAAUAACAACGUGAAAUAAGAAUCCCAAAAUUCACAAAAACAGUGAAAUGAGCAGACCCAAAAACAAAAAAAGACACCUGAACAACAAAUGUCAAAUUGACAAAACCCACAAAAAUUAACACAAUAGAAAGAAAUUACAAUGCCGAAACCAUAAAAAAAAAAAAAAAAAAAGAACUUGAACAAGAAAUCCCAAAUUGGAAACAACAACUAGAAUAAUCAAAAGGGAUCAAAAUAGCAAACCUGAAGAGAACACCAGAGCAAAUUGAGCAAUGUAACAACCCAGAGAAAGAUAUAGUACGCGAUGAUAAUAUGAGAUCGGCCAUUAAAGAGUUUUGAAACACUUUUCUUAGCCUGAAAAGCUAAAUAGAGUAAGAACAAAGCAGUUGGGAUUAUCAGAAAAAGACUGUGCCAUAUUCCAUGGCAUUCCCAUAGCCAUCCCUCAUAUUUGCCGCCUCCUAUAGCCUCCGCCGCCGCUGCUGACGAUGAUUCUUUUGAGGAUAACGGAAAGGUAACCUCUGUUGCCUCUGCUACUACUUGAAGGGCUUCUUUUAGACCUCUCAUUCUUCCAUCAAAAAUUCAAGAUCAAUUCAGGCAGUUAAUUCUCAGAGAAAAUGCUUUACUAGAGAAGUAUUGAUUACUAGAUUAUGCAGCUGGGCGUAAUGGAAUUUCAGAAGAUUAGCUUUCCCAUAGGGGUUUCUAAUUUGGAAUUUUGGCCUCGGGGGAUUGGGGUUGUUUUGGUUGACUUUCUUGGGAAUUGGGUCGUGUGCAUCACCAGUCCAACCGCUGUUUGGAUUGUGAUAUUUUGGAGAAAAUUUGCAUGUUUUUCAUGAAUUUUUUUUAUAUAAUUUUUUAUAUUUUUAUUUUAAAGUGUUAUACUAAUUUUUUCCUCAAAAUUUUCCAAAGAAAUAUGCAACCAAACGGGCUUUUUUCCAUUUUUUGGGAGAUGGACCAAAAAAAGAGAAUCUUUGGAAAAACGGACAAUUUCAGAGGUUUCUGACAAUAAUAUAUUAUUUAGCACCGUUGAGAUUUAAUAAUUUAACAUACCUCCCUUAUUAGUUUUAGUGAAAUAUUUUUUAUACAAUUUCUUAUUCUUUUAUUUCAUAUAUAUCAUAUGUUAAAGAAGUGCUACACUAAUUUUUUUCCUAAAUUUUUCUAAAAAAGCAAUCCAAACGACUUUUUUUUCCCACUUUUGGGUGAUAGAGGAAAGAAAGUGUCUGAGAAAAAAAAAAAUUUCAAGGUUUCUACAAUAUUACUUAGGACAUUUGAGAUCUAAGAAUGUGACAUAGUUUCCUUUAAUUAUUAUUUUUUUAUUUUUUUAUAUAACUUUAUAAUAUUUUUAUUUAUUAAAUUUAUUUUGUUCUUAUCGUGAAUUUAUAUUUUCCUGAAUUCAUUUAUACUCUAGAACGAUCAACAGUUACUUUAAAAAGACAUAACAUUUUGGUAAGAAUGAACAUAUCUUCUCCCUGGAUUAAACCAAAAAUUGGAUUAACAAAUAAAGGAAAAGAUAGAUAUAUAGUCAUAUUUCAACCUUACCCAUAAUGUUGUCUGACACAAGAACUAAAAACAGGAUUUUUUAACACCAAAUUCAUUCUUACUGACAUUCUUAAAAUUUUCAAAUUUUAAUACAAAAGAAAUUCACAUUAAAUGUUGAAUAAAGCUAGCACAGAAACGAAGAAGCUGAUUAAAAAUUGAUAACAGAGUUACAUAUAGAAAUCUAUGUAGAUAAUUCAACAAUUAACAUAAAAUCAACAUAAAGGGUGCCAACAGUUGUUAGUAAAGCAUUGAUUCUUGUAGACACCAAAAUUUUACCAAUUCAUUUUAUUUUUGUUGUUAUCUUUAUUUUUUUUAAAGUUGUUUAAAUGAAAUCAUUUUCAUUUAAUUGGUUUUCUUUUGUAGGAAAGUGAAGAAAGGAAAAGAAAGAAAAUGGAAGUGAAAAAAAAUCAGAUUUUUGCAACAAAAAAAAAAAAUCAGAAAUGAAUUUUUGGAUAAAUGAAUUUUUUUGGGAAGAUAUUUGGGCCUAAUGGGUACCCAAGUAUUUCCCAAUAUUUCCUAUCAAAUAAUAGAUAUAAUUGGGAUGUAUCCCAUUUUAAACCCAAUAUCAAAUUACAAUAUCCAUCCCGCCCAAAGUCCUUUUGGGUAUGGGUAACCCAUUAGAAUUUAGGACAAAUUACCACCUCUACUGGAGUAGGACCAAAAAACACGGCCAAAAAUCAGGCAACAAUUUGACAAAACCUUUAUUGCUACAACAAUCUUUUAACCAAAAAAUUAUGGAUGCUAGUUGUUAAAAAAAGGAUUAAUCGCACUUUAUCCCCUUUACGUAUAGGCUAUUUCUCAAUUUACCCCUCCCCACCAACGUUUGUUUUUCCACAGUUUACCCCAAAAACUAACAGUCAACCCUAAUAGAAAUAAACAGAAUAAUGAAAAGACAGUUACGUAAUAUUCUUAAGAAAAUAAUGAACAAUCCGAAAUACCCAUAUAUCUAGGUUUAUGAAAGGGAUAAAGAAAAGUUUCUAAAAUUACUCUGGAAUAAUGAAGGAGGGAAAUUUCCCUCCAUCUCGCACGUGGGACAAAAAGAAAAAAGAAAUUUGGAAGAUAAAAAGUAGGGAACCUUUUGUCAUUGUCAGUCAUCUUUUCUCUCUUCUCUAUCAGCCAUUUUUCUCUCCAUCUUUUCUCUCUUCUCUAUCUACCUAUGAAAAGUGCUCACAUGCAUGCAAUAAAAAGAAAAUAUAACUGUCUAAAACUCUUUUUGAUUUAUUCAUGUAUAAAGCAAAAUUAAAGACAAUAAUAAUAGAUUAUUAAUGAAAAAUUCUUACAUUGUAAUUUGAGUAACAGUAAAAUCUUCUUCUCGAAUUUUCAAGUGUUCAAAAGGUGCAUAAUGGUGCCUCUUUAUCAUAUUCACACAUUUUUUGGGACGAUCUUUCAAUGUUAUUUGAAGCACUUGUGACAUUUUUAUGAUGCUUUUGGCUGACAAAGAACAAUUUUAGAAGUUGUUAGAUCUGUUGAAAUGAAAGGAAAAAAUAGACUGCAACUAGAUGGAAGCAUGAAAGAGAAAAAAUAUGCUAAAAAGCAUCAGACACCCCUUUUUAUAACUCAUUAAGGGACAUUUUAGUCAGCUGAAACAAAUGGCUCUUUUCCAAUGGCAAUUUCGGCAUCUUGAAGUUUUUAACGAUGCAAUUACUUAGUUGGAUUGACAGAGGGAGUAAAUUGUGGAGAAACAAACAUUGGGGGGUAAAUUGAGAAAUGACACAUAUUUAAAGGAGAUAAAGUGCGAUUAACCCUUAAAAACAUAAUGCAAGAGAAUGGUGCCACUGGGCAUCAUGUACCUACAGAAAGCGCGCCAUUCUUGACAAAAUUUACUUAUCAUAUGAAAAGGCAAAAUUGUUCAACACAUCCUUCACAUUUUGUAAAAUAAUUUUUUCAUCUUUUACUUUUUGUUGAAGAUAUGUGAUCUGAUAUUAUGGAAAAAUUUGAUAUUGUGAAUAUUAGGAAAGAUAUGAUUAUAGUAUCAUGUAUUAAUUAGGUAUCAUAUAAUGAUAGUAUCAUAUAUUAAUUAGGUAGUAGAUUGAUUUAGAUUAGCAUGAUUUUAGAAUCUAAAUUAGGUUACACUUAUGUGUAUAUAUAUAUAUAUAUAUAUAUAUAUAUAUAUAUAUGUAUAUUGUGUAGUCCAAAAUAUAAAGAAGAGUAUUUUUUCUCCCUUUGUCUUAGUUUUCAUGGUAUCAGAGCCCUACCAUCAAGGUUAGGGUCUCUGUCCGCUGCCAGAAAAUUCAUUAGUCAUCAUUCGGUUCAUCUGGUUCUGUAUAGGACAUAUCUGUAUUCUAUUCUUCAUUCUUGUUUUAAAGGGUUCAGAUCUGUUCUCUUUUACUUUUUUCUGUUAAUUCUAAACCCAUUGCAGAAACGAAAUUUGUCGUUACGUCUGAUGUGGUUCCUGUGAUGUCUAAGAUCACGGACCACAAACUCAACAAUUCUAACUAUCUUGAUUGGAGCAAAACUGUCCGUCUUUAUCUGCGAAGCAUUGAUAAAAACAAUCAUCUGACUGAUGAUCCUCCAAAAGAUGGUUCAAGACAGACAUGGUUAAGGGAAGAUACUAGAUUGUUCCUGCAAAUAUGGAAUUCUAUUGACAGUGAGGUAAUUAGCUUAAUUAAUCACUGUAAAUUUGUUAAGGAAUUAAUGGAGUAUUUAGAAUUUUUGUAUUCUGGUAAAGGGAAUAUUUCUCGCAUAUAUGAUGUGUGUCAAGCCUUUUAUCGUGCAGAGAAACAAGAUAAGUCCAUCAUAACUUAUUUUAUGAAUUUUAAAAAAACUUAUGAGGAGCUUAAUCUGUUAUUACCGUUUAGUUUUGAUGUGAAAGUUCAGCAAACUCAACGGGAACAGAUGGCAAUUAUGAGUUUUUUGGCUGGUCUUUUACCUAAAUUUGAAGCUGCUAAAUCUCAGAUUCUUUCCAGUCCUGAGAUUUCAUUCUUGCAAGAUAUGUUUAGUAGGGUGUUUCACACAAAGAAUACCCAGUCUGUUCAGUCCAGUAGUGCUCUUGUUGGUCUUGAAAAACAGCAAUACAAAGGUGGUGGUAAAAGAAUUGACACUCGGGGACAGAAUGCAGAAGUGGUUGUUUGUCACUAUUAUCAUAAGUGGGAUCAUAUGAAGCGUGAUUGUAAAAAAUUGCAGUACAGGAACCAGAGAACUCAAUCUGCACAUAUUGCUUCUAUCAAUGAUGCUAUUAACCAUGAAAAGUCAGUUAUGAUCUCUGCAGAUGAAUUUGCUAAAUUUUCUCAGUAUCAAGAAUCAUUAAAGUUUUCAUCUACUCCCAUAACUACCAUCGCUGAGUCAGGUAAACCAAACACAUGUCUUGUGUUCUCGUCCUCCAAAUGGGUAAUUGAUUCUGGUGCCACAGAUCAUAUGAUAAGUAAUUCUAGUCUAUUUUCUACCUUUCAGCCACACACAUCUGUACCUACAGUUACCUUAACUGAUGGGUCAAAAUUUCGUGUUCUUAGAUCAGGCUCAGUUAACCCCACUCCAUUAAUCUCAUUGUCAUCUGUCUUAAAUUUGCCUGAGUUGUCUUUUAAUUUAAUUUCUGUGAGUAAACUUACUCGUGCUUUCAAUUGUUCUGCCCAAUUCUUUCCUGACUAUUGCUUGUUUCAGGAUCUUACGACGAAACAGAUUAUUGAUAAAGGGCAUGAAUCUGGAGGUCUUUACAUUCUUGACACACAGAUACCAAAGUUCAUAGCUUGUUUUGGAAUUGUAACUCCAUUUGAAACACAUUGUAGGUUGGGUCAUCCUUCUCUCUCGUUGUUAAUGAUAUUUUGUCCACAAUUUCAGAGUUUGUCUUGAUUAGAUUGUGAGUCUUGUCAGUUUGCCAACAUUAUCGUGUUAAUCUGAGUCCUAGAGUCAAUAAACGAGCAGAUGUUUCUUUUGCAUUAGUUCAUUCAGAUGUCUGGGGAUCUAGUCUAGUCAUUUCUAAAAUUGGAUUCAAGUAUUUUGUUACUUUUGUCGAUGACCAUUCUCGUAUGACUUGGUUAUAUUUGAUGAAAAAUCGGUCAGAGUUGUUUUCUCAUUUUUGUGCUUUUUGUGCUGAGGUUAAGACCCAAUUUAAGCAUUCUGUACAAAUAUUGCAAAGUGACAAUGCCAAAAAAUAUUUCUUCGCACUUUUUCAAUCUUAUAUGGUGCAAAAUGGCAUUAUUCAUCAAACCUCUUGUGUGGAUACACCAUCCCAAAAUGGAGUCGCAGAAUGAAAGAAUAGACAUUUGCUCGAAACUGCAAGAGUCUUAUGAUUUCAAAUGCAUGUUUCUAAACAUUUUUUGGCUGAUGCAGUGUCCACAGCUUGCUUUCUAAUUAAUCGUCUACCUUCAUCUGUUCUGAAUGGUGGGACUCCUUAUAACACUCUUUUUUCAAAUAAACCUUUGUUUUCCAUCGAUUCUAAAAUCUUUGGGUGUACAUGUUUUGUCCACGACUCUCUUCCCCAAGUCACUAAAUUAGACCCCAAAUCAUUGAAAUGUAUUUUUUUUUGUUAUUUCCGUGUCCAAAAAGGAUAUAGAUGUUAUUGUCCUAGUCUCGGCAGGUACAUUGUGUCAGUUGAUGUUACUUUUCUUGAAAAUACACCUUUUACCCCAUCCUCAUCUCAUUCAUGUCAGGAGGAGGAUGAUGAUUUGUUAAUCUAUACUGUCACAUUUUCAAUUUCUUCCCCUGCUAAACCUCCAAUUACUCAAGUAUAUUCUCGAUGAUAAAAGUCUCCUGAUGCAUGCCCUGAACCAGUUUCUUCGUUAUUAGAUCCUGUCUCAAGUGAUGAUCUUCCUAUUGCUCUUUGUAAAGGUAAGCGUCAAUGCAUUUAUCCUGUGUUUUCGUGUGUAUCUUAUAAUCAUUUACCCACCUCUUCUUGUUCAUUUAUUACAUUUAUUGAUUGCAUCUCCCUUCCUAAAACUGUUCAUGAAACCCCAUCCUAUCCCGGAUGUCGCAAUGCUAUGAUAGAGGAGAUGAAUACUUUAGAUGGUAAUGAUACUUGAAACUUAGUAAAUUUACCUGCAGGAAAGAAGGCCAUUGGGAGUAAGUGGAUUUUUGCAAUUAAAUUCAAUCCUGAUGGGUCGGUUGCUCGGUUAAAAACUCGCCUUGUUGCCAAAGGCUAUGCCCAAAUCUAUGGAGAGAAUUAUUCUGAUACUUUUUCCCAUGUUGCUAAGUUAACAUCUAUUAGGUUAUUCAUUUCUAUGGCAGCCAUUUAUAAUUGGCCUUUGCAUUAACUAGAUAUCAAGAAUGCCUUUCUUCAUAGAGACCUCCAAGAGAAAGUUUAUAUGGAGCAACCACUAGGGUUUGUUGCUCAGGGAGAGUCUGGGAAGGUUUGUCAUCUUCGGAAGUCCUUGUAUGGACCGAAACAAAGUCUUCGUGCUUGGUUUGAAAAAUUUAGUCUAGCAGUUGAAAGGUUUGGGAUGCAGAAAAGCAAAUCUGAUCAUUCUGUUUUCUACAAACAGUCUGAAAUUGGUAUUAUUUUGUUGGUAGUAUAUGUGGAUGAUAUUGUUAUCACUGGGAAUGAUGCUGCGGGUAUUUCAUCUCUUAAAACUUUUCUCCAUAGUCAAUUUCAGACAAAGGAUUUGGGACUGUUAAAGUAUUUUUUGGGUAUUGAGAUAGCAAAGAGUAGGAAGGGGAUAUUUCUGUCCCAAAGGAAAUAUGUUCUUGACUUACUAUCGAAAAUGGAAAAAUUGGGGAUUAAACCAGUUAGUACCCCAAUGAUUCCUAACUUGCAACUCACAAAUGAAGGUGAAUUGUUAGAAGAUCCUGGAAGGUAUCGAAAAUUGGUUGAAAAGUUGAAUAAUCUUACAGUGACUCAUCUAGAUAUCGCGUAUUCAGUUAGUGUUGUUAGUCAAUAUAUGUCUAAUUCGACUGUCAAUCAUUGGGCAGUUGUAGAACAAAUUUUGUGUUAUUUAAAAAGAGCUCCUAGACGUGGUAUUCUGUAUAAAAAUCAUGGUCAUACUAGGAUUGAGUGUUUUUCAGAUGCUGAUUGAGCAGGAUCCAAAGCAGAUCGAAGAUCCACAACUGAAUUUUGUGUCUUUGUUGAGGAAACCCAGUCUCAUGGAAGAGUACGAAGCAGAAUGUUGUCUCGCGAUCGAAUGCAGAGUCAGAAUAUAGAGUUAUGGCACAAUCAGUAUGUGAAAUCAUGUGGAUAAAUCAACUUCUAACUGAAGUAGGUCUCAAAACCUCAAUGCCUGCAAAAUUGUGGUGUGAUAACCAAGCGGCUCUUCAUAUUGCAUCCAAUCCCGUAUUUCAUGAGCGAACAAAACACAUCGAAAUAGAUUGUCAUUUUAUUCGUGAGAAAAUACAGCAGGGCUUGAUUUCUACAGAAUUUGUAAGGACUGGAGAACAAUUGGGAGAUCUCUUUACGAAACCUCUACAUGGGGUUCGAGUUGAUUAUCUUUGUAACAAACUGGGCAUGAGCAACAUCUAUACUCCAGCUUGAGAGGGAGUGUUGAAGAUAUGUGAUCUGAUAUUAUGGAAAGAUUUGAUAUUGUGAAUAUUAGGAAAGAUAUUAUUAUAGUAUCAUGUAUUAAUUAGGUAUCAUAUGAUUAUAGUAUCAUCUAUUAAUUAGGUUGUAGAUUGAUUUAGAUUAGCAUAAUUUUAGGAUCUAAAUUAGGUUACACUUGUGUAUAUAUAUAUGUAUAUUGUGUAAUCCAAAAAUAUGAAAAAGAGUAUUUUCUCUCCCUUUGUCUUAGUUUUCACUUUUAAAGGUAUAAUUUUGGGAAAAUCAUCCAAAACGUCCCUCACAUUUUGUAAAAUAACUUUUUUCGUCCCUCACUUUUAAAAGUGUAAUUUUAUGUCCCUUACAUAUUCACAUCGGUCAAAUUUAGUCCCUAACUAGGUUUCCGAUCAUUUUUUGGCCGGAAUCCAUCAUGUGCAAGGCACGUGAUCAUUUUUUAAGGGUGAAUUUGUCAAAUUAUAUUUUACAUAAUUUGAUCUAUAGUCCUCCACAUUUUAUAAAAUAAAUUUUUUCGUCCCUCACAUUUUAUAAAAUAAUUUUUUUCAUCCCUCACAUUUCACAAAAUGAAUUUAUCUAUCCCUCACAUUUCAAAAAAUGAAUUUUUCAUUUCUCACUAAUUAUGUGUGUGAAUAAUUUUUUUUUAAACACAUGUAUAUGUCUAUUUGAUUUUGCUUAAUAAUAAUAGCAUAAACACAUGUGUGUAAUUGGGCCCAACUUGUGGGCUAUCUUCUUUUUUUGUAUGAUUAUGACUAAUAUUUACCAAUAGACUCUUAAUUUGCAUAUUCUUAUUGUAUUUUGACCGAAAAUAGCUUUAUUGGCCAACUUGACAAUGAAUGCAAGAUUUUUUACUAGCUAAUACCAGAUAAAAUCAAAUGAUCACGUAUAAUAUAUGGUAUUCAUAUUAUUAAGUGAAAUCAAAUAGACACAUACAUAUAUUUAUGCUAUUCGUAUUAUUAAGCAAAAUCAAAUAGAUAUAUACAUAUGUUUAAAUAAAAAUGUAUUCACACACAUAUUUUUUUUUUUUAGGGUUUCGCUUACACACAUAAUUAGUAAGGGAUGAAAAUAUUCAUUUUUUAAAAUGUGAGGAAUGAAGAAAUUCAUUUUGUGUAAUGUGAGGGAUGAAAAAAUCAUUUUAUGAAAUGUGAGGGACGAAAAAAUUUGUUUUAUAAAAUGUGGAGGACUAUAGAUUAAAUUACGUAAAAUAUAAUUUGACAAAUUUACCCUUAAAAAAUGAUCACGUGCCUUGCACGUGAUGGAUUCCGACCAAAAAAUAAUCGGAAACCUAGUUAGGGACUAAAUUUGACCGAUGUGAAUAUGUAAGGGACAUAAAAUUACACUUUUAAAAGUGAGGGACGAAAAAAGUCAUUUUACAAAAUGUGAUGGACGUUUUGGACGAUUUUCCCUAUAAUUUUUUUCUUUUACAAAUUUACAUUAGUCAAAUUUGGUCCCUAUUUAGGUUUUUGAUUAGUAUUUGGCUAAAAUCCACUACAUUCCUUACAUUUUUGAAGGGUGAAAAAAUUUAUUUUGUGAAAUGUGAGAGACGAAAAAUUCAUUUUUUGAAAUGUAAUGGACGAAAAAAUUCAUUUUUGUAAAAUGUGAGCAACAAAAAAAUUGAAUUAUGUGAAAUUUGAUUUGACAAUUUUGCCCAUAAAAAAUGAUCAUGUGCAUGACACGUGAUGGAUUUCGACAAAAAACGAGUCAAAGACUUAGGUUAGGACCAAAGUUGAUCAAUGUGAAUUUGUAAGGGACGUAAAAUUAUACUUUUAAAAGUGAAUGACGAAAAAAGUUAUUUUGUAAAAUGUGAGGACGUUUUGAAUGAUUUUCCCAUAUGAAAAAGCUAAUCUUUUAUUCAAAAUCUGUAGAUUGCUCUUAUUUUUUGAAUAAAGAAAAGGAAUACUUUCAAAAACAUCUCUUGAGGUUUCUGACAAUUAUAUUGCCCUUCUUCGAAAUUCUAAAAAUAUCACUAACCUUCCUUAAGGCUAAGUUUGGGAGUUUAAGAUAGAAAAGAAAAGAAGGGAAAACUUAAGUUAUGAGAGAAGAGAAUGGAUUGUUAUGUUGUUUGAGAGUUUUGAGAAGUAGUGGAAUGAUUUUGGAUAUAAAAGUCAUUAAAUAUUUGUUCAAGGCACUUUUAAGGAUAAAAUAGGUAUUUUAAAAAACUUUCAUAAGUUUCCUCCAACUUUCUCUCCAUUUCUCUCCAAUUUGAGAGGAAAACUUUUACUUACUAUUUAUUCUCUUAAAUCCUUCUCUUUCUCUUGUUUUCUUUCCUAAUAAAAACUAACAAACGAAGGAAAUGUUCACUUUUUCUUCUUUCCUUUUCUUUUCUCUUCAAAUCAUCCACUCCCAAACGAACCCUAAAACCAAUUUUCUUCUAACAAUUUAGUCCAAUUCAAAAAAAAAGCAACAAUAAAAAAAUAAUUUCAGGUGUGAGAAGAUUUAUUUAUGCCAACAGUGCCCCUCAACUAUUAUACUGGUUAGAUUAAAUAUUUAAUCUAACUUGUUAAUUUAUUCCAUGCCUUUUUCUCCAUACCUUAAAACAACUUUAAAAAUUCAACAAAACAAUUUUUUCCAUUCCUUAAGAUUCUUGUUACCACCACAAUUAUAAGAAAAAUUAGCCUAACCGAAAUCUCUUUAUAUUUUGUUCCUUUAAUUUGUCAAGGACAUAAUUAUUUCGAAAAAGGAUGCCUAAUAUUGGAUAUCUUUUUAGAUGCCAAAAUUAGAUUUUCCAUUUUACAUUUCAAAUUAUGGUUAAUUUAGUUUUGUAAAUGGUUUAAUUGUUUCUCAUGUCUAAGUGCUUUAAUUUAUCAAUUGCAUUACGUUUGAUUUCUUUUGUUUGUCAAGAAUAUAAACAUUUAAAAAAAUGCACCUAAUAUUGUCUCUAUUUUUAGAUGGCAAAUUAUUUAACUUUUACAAUCCAAAUUAUGGUUAUAUAUACUUAGCAAAUGUUUAACUCUUUUUCUUCACAUAUAUGUGUAAUUAUCCUAAAUUAUAAGGGUAAUAUAGUUAUUUAGCCAUUAGUGAUGUAAGCAGAGGGUCCCAAAAGAUUGACGUGAGAUAAGUGAAAAUUUUAAAAUCUCAGAGGAGUACAGUGAAAUUGUCAAAGCCCUCAAUGGAGGAUUCUGAAAUUAUACCUAAAAAGUAAGAGUUUAACUAAAAGAGUGGAAAUCCUUUACAUGGUUGAGUCUAUUUGCAUUGGAGUUUUAGGAUUUUUUUUUUGUAGAAAAAUUCAUUAUAAUAGUGUGAUGUAUGAGGAAUAAAAAGAUAAUUGAAAAAUAUAUUAAUAUUUUAAAAACUUUUCUUGAAAAACUUGCUAUUCAAAGAUGUUAUUAUAUAUUUUGUUGCGACUCAAACUUUGUUCUACAAGUAAAACGAACCCUGGGUGAACGUAAAAUUGUAAGUAGAUUUGAUGCUUGCAUUGUAAAACAUGAUUACAUUAAACUUUCAUGAUAUUUUUCAUAUUAAUGGCUUCAUGAACAAAAAGUAAACCGAAAACUUUUAUUUAUAGUAAUAUGUGUCUAUGACAAGCCAAUAGCGACUGCUGUUGAGGACCUUCAUGUUUCGCUUGACAGAUCAGUGUUCGAUACGAGAUUUGGAGAUAGGGAGGGGAUUAAGUGGGAGGGGGGUAAAAUAGUGUCUUUGACGUGUUGGAGAGGGUUACCAAGAUUCCAUCCAAGUACAAAAUAAAGCGUUACUUUUGCCCAUUCAAAAUUUUAUUAAAUAGUUGUAUCUUCUAAUCUCUUAUCGUAUAGUAUUAGUACAAGCAAAUUUAGUCAUUGUAAUUAGAAAAAAGUGUAUAAAUAUAAGAAACAGAAGUUAUUAUUAGUGUAUGCAUUUAUAAAGUAAGUUGUGUGUAAUUUAAAUGUAUUAACCAGUAUCCAAUAGAGACUCGUUAGAAAAACUAUUAUUAAAUAUGUAUAAGUGGACUGAUUCAAUUAUGCCUACUGCCCAAUUAUAAUCCACAUUCAUUCAUUUUGACACCUUUAUUUAUAUUACAAUGGGUUGUCACAUUCAUUCAUUCAUUCAUUUAUAUUACAAUGGGUUGUCACAUAUUAAAAAAUGAUUAGAGUGUAGCUUGAUUCUUUCUAGGUAGUGUUAUAUUUAUAAGGAAAAGUAUGUGAAAGCAAGUUUUUUUUUUUGUUUGCUUUUGCAUGCAUUUAUUAACAAGAAAGUUAGUCAAUUUCUCAAUAUUAUCACUCACUUUCUUGCAUUUUGUGUCUUACAAAAAUUUGCAUUGUUUAUACAAAGUAUCCAAAGGUCAUAAGUGUUUUGUAAGUCAGGAGAUUAUUAUGUAGAUAAAGUAAAUAUUGUUGUUCUUUUAUUUUUUUCAAAUUAGAGUGAAUAUUAUUGGGUUUAGCCAUGGUUCAAAGUCGCGGUCGCGGUUGCGGUUGUGGUCCGGACUGUUCUACAUCAGUUUCGAUAUAUUGGUUACGGUAUUGGCAAGAUGCAAAUUUUUGAAAUAUUUAAUAUUCUAAAAAUUAUAAAAAAAAUGAUAAUUAAAAAUAAUUAAAAAAUUAGCAAAAAUAAUAAAAAUUCGAGUUGACUCGAGAUGACUCGGGGCGGUUCGGCCGUUUCUAUCCAAUUCGCAGACGUCUCGCCCGAGUUUUUGGUGAUUCAUUAUUUCAGAAUUAUCUCAUCUCGAUAUUGGAUCGAAAAAUCCUGUUCCGAUGACAACUCGGCCUAGCUGUCUCGGUUUCGGCCGAGUCUUUAAACCAUGGGCUUAGUGGACUGGCGCCCAAGUGCUUGCUAGGUAGGCCUGUCAACGGGUCGGGUCCGGGCCGGAAUUAAUAAAUCCGGACCCGGACCCGUUAUACUGCAUUACUUCCAGACCCGACCCAAAUACCCCACGGGUCUCUUAAUAUAUCUACCAGACCCGCACCCGACGGGUCUCGGAUCCGGGUCGGGCCUACCCGGAAAAAGGCCCGAGAAAACCUGUUUUUGAUACAACUUCAGCGCCUGAAAAUGCAGUCUGAUUUUUAUCACAUUUUGCGGACUACGCAAGCCUUUGCGAAAUCAGGGAAGUUAUUUAAUUUGCCGAAGAAGCAGAAUCGAACUUUUCUUGCCGAAAAUUCCAAAUGAAAGAGCUAUGGUGCUUGUCAGAAACAAUACAACCCACAUUUGAUAUUAUACAGGAAAACAUACAACUCAACCACAACAAAGCUGAAAAAGACAAAGACCUAUGACUUGUUUCCAACUAACUUGUAUAUAUUCGUAGAAAUAGCUAUGGUGCUUGUCACAAUAGCUAGAAUGACUAUUGCUGUUGCUAUUAUUCUGUCCCUUCUUGUUGAAAUGCCGUGGAUAUCUUUGCCAAAGGAAAAAAAAAAACAAAUGGUUCAAUUUAACAGCGAAAUCACAAACCAAGAAAACAAGGGCAAUUUAAGUUAAUCUUUUGUUUUUUUCCCCUUACUAUCCGCAUAAGGUGGGUUCGGCAAUACCUUAAAGCAAUUAUGCCUGGGAAGAUGAAGGCAAGACAGAUAGCAAAAGCUCCAAUUUUUUCAGCUUGCCAACCGUGAAAUUUUCCCUCAACAGCUGGAAGAGUUGGGCUUCUUUGGAGCUGCAACUGUCACUCCGUCAGGCAUCAGAGAUGAAGAGAGCUCGCCAGUUUCACGGCGGACUGGUCACUGGCGGAGGCGGAGGAUGUGAGGCGGGACUGGUCACUGGUCAGAAAAGAGGGAAGGAUGUGAGGCCGGUAGAAAAGAGGGAAGAAUGAGACUGGAAGAGCUGGCGGAGGCAGGAUGUGAGGCGGGACUGGUCACGGCAGAGCAAAAGAGAAAAGAGAGUGAGGGGAAAAAGAGAUGUGCGGCGGUGGGUAGGUUAGGGUUGGAUAAAUUUGGGAACGAAAGUAGUAAUAUAUAGGUAUAUAUUUUUAAUUAUUAAUUAAUUAAAAACGGGUCCGGGUCGGAUACGGGUCGGAAUGGUAUAUUCCAUAUCCGACCCGUAAAUUAUUAAGAGGUAACGGGUCCGGGUCCGGGUCCGGGUCCGGGUCCCGGAACAAUAUACCUACCCGUACCCGGCAAAUUCGUCCGGGUCCGGGUCCAGACCCGGACCGUUGACAGCCCUAUUGCUAGGUAAUCGUCAAGAGUGUUUAUUUUUUCCACAAUAGUUAGUUUGGAAAAGAGUGUGUACAAUCAUGUAAUAAAUUAUGUAUAAUGAGUGAGCACUCGUACUC